rnacentral:lncRNA from 1 species
UUACUAAUUAUUUUUGAACGGAUUAAUCUCUCAUAAGAACGGUAAUUUUAAAUGCUCGUGCGAUUUUAAGACCAGCUUCACUUUCUAGAUUGCUGUAUGAUUAUUCAAAUAUAGUGCUGCGCAGUAUCAAAUCUAUACGUAUUUUCUAUCAGGGAAGCAAGAUGAAAACAUCCGUUUUUUCCUUAACAGGACUCAUAGUCUGGAUUAUAUUCACCACUGCUGAAGGCACGACUGGAACAGAUUACUCUAUGUUUUUCGAUGUUGACGCCUCGAAACAAGGAACAGGAGAAGUCAUUGAAACACUGGCCUCUAGAUCUGAGCAACACUGCAGCUACCAAUGUUUUUCGAAUGAUCUAUGUGAGAGCGCUAACUAUCACCAUGGAAACGGUCAGUGUAUUCUGCUGGAAUCUAAAGAAAGCGUCGCGAAUACUGAUGACAAUGCAGUGAUGCUUACCUGGGCUGACUAAAAGAAAAUACAUUAAACAUUAUAAAUACCGAAAUACUUUUUAAUGUGAUGCUGUGGUUUAAUUCGAAUAAUCGUUCCAAUGUAUUCAAAAUCAUUUACUGGCCAAUGAGAUAAAGAUAGGCACUAUCAAUAUUUUGUUAAUAAUUCACAAUGGCCGUCUUAUUUUUCCUCCGACCGUCGUAUUCGCAUGGACUCGAGCAAAUACGAUUAUCCCCGGACUAAUAACAUAAAGUUUUCCUAAAUUAGCUAGCUCUAUUGAAUAUUCAUUACUUAAAUUGAGUCCCCACAGAAAACGCCGUCAUUUUUCUUCUUCUUUUAUUUCAUGCCAUGUCUACUUUCAAUGACAUCGUGAAAUGAAUUAAGACUUACCUGAGUGAACUCGCUGCUUAUCUUCUGUUGAUAGUGUUGUAGUAAAUCAAAAACUGUUGCAAUCGGAUAUUUAGACGCAAUGCAGCAAUAUUUAUAGUAAACUCCUUGACUAGGAAAAAAAGUCUUUCAAGAACGGUCUGUGCUAUGUGAAUUAAGCGACAGUCUAUCCAAAAUUAAUGACAUCUUCAAAUAUUCACUCAAAAACUUGAAAUUUUAACCCUCUUUACGAAAAAGAAAUACCUUCUUUGAUAAUGUAAAUAAAUUGAUGUGUCACCCGUAUUCCUAUCCAACGUAUAUCAACGCAAUGAAAUGUCCCCUGUAAAAACAGAAUAACACGGUCAUGCAUCUAACAGUCCUCAAUUUUUCUCACAUUUCUAGUCAUUUUGCCCAUUUUGGGGAGUUGUCUCCAUCUUUUAUUUUUCAAAAUAUUUUACCCAGGAUAAUUUUUUGCGGUUUAUAUAACCUUUUUAGAACAUGAUUCUUUCAAAAUUUUAUAUAUAUAAUGAACUUUGAUGCAGUUUGCAACACGCAUAUCUGAAAUAAGUGAAAUAAGUUGUUGCUACUAUAUAUUUUGUACUUUGUGUUCCAAUGCUUUCAUGUCUAAUACUGCAGUUGUAUCUCUUUAUUGUAUACCUAUCUUAAACGAUGAGAAAGUUGGUAAUAUAACUGUGAAAACUAGUACUGCCUCUCUGUUUUUCUGAAACAAAAUUGUAUAGGUUUUAUGAUAAUUUGAUAAGUUAUUUUAUUGCUCUAUCAAAUAGAAUAAUUAUUCAGCAUUUUGCGUUUAUGUAUCUCAUUAUAUAAGGGUGUUGUGAGAGAAAUGCUAAACCCAGAGUGAUGGCCCCUGAAAGGGCCAGAAUUAGCUAUUUUGAGGUCACCAGGUCAAAUCAAAGAAUAAGCCUUUUUACACCCUAGGAGGCACACUUUUUAUUCUAUCUUCAUAACUUUUGGUCAGAAUGUUUGUUUUCAUAAAUUCUUGAACGAUUUAAAAUCUGGGUCACGUGGGUUCAAAAACUGGGUCACUAGGUCAAAUCAAAGAAACUGCAUGUUUAUACUCAAUUUAAGAGGCGACGUUUUUUGGUCCAAUCUUAUUGAAAAUUGGUCAGAAUAUUUGUCUCCAUGAAAUCACUAGGUAAAACAUGUUUACACUGUUAUGGUGUGUUACACAGGUGAGCGAGCUAGGGCCAUCUAGGCCCCCUUGUUUUAAAUCUCAUGCUUGUAGAUGCUUACUCUUAUUAUGUAUUGUGUCGUGUUACCUCUAUUUCACUUAUAUAUGAGUCUCAAACAUGUUGCUAAACGUAACCUCAUCGAUUCAUGCAUACAUGAAAUAAGUGAAAUAUGACUUUACCUGAGAAGACAAACGAAAUACUGACAUUUUAUAUUUUAUGAACAUUUUCAAAGUAAUUAGCAAAAUUCUGAGAUACAGUUUUGUACCCAGUGCCAGAAAGAAGAAAGAAGGUCUCUAUGAAGUUUGAAUAAAAAAUAAUGUUAUCACUCCAGCAUGAUUCAAAGGGAAUAUACAAGAAACAAAAUGCACAUUUCGCUGAAUUCUGUAAUGGUUUGUAAUAAGUUCCUUCAAGUUUACUAAAUUACCUAUAUUUUGACCUUCAGUAUAAACGUUUGGCUACCAAAAUUAGCAUGUUAUUAUGCAUAUUAUUAAGCAAACUGAUGAUUGUUUUAACCUUUACCCUGCUAAAUUUCUAAAAUGGACUGGUUUAUCAUUCAGUUUGGGGUGAUACCACUUACUGUUAUAAGGGGUGUCCACAGAAAAUUUACAGACUGAAUAGCAAACAGUGCAGACCAUAAUCAGCCUGAUCUUGGUCUGCACUGGUCGCAAAGGCUGAAUCACUUGACGCCAGCAGGCUAAUGGUUGAAAGAAUCUUUCUCUGGUUGUAUACUAACAUGAUACAAAGUUGCAUAAUCUGAAUUUUACAUAGUAUUUAUAUUUUCUCACACAUGAUUUACGAUUUUAUUAUACCAGAAGCUGCUUUACUUUUACCUAGCAAUGUUUAGUCAAUAAAUUAGUAAAGUAUGCAACACUUGUUUGUUCUUUUGUUUUAUCUCAAUAAGCUCUUCAUAAAACAUGCAUUAUAUCAAAACAAAUGGAACGUGUAUUUAUGUACAUAAAAACACAAUUUGUUAUAUGACUUCGCCUAUAGUCUAUGGACAUAUUUUAGAUAAUGCAUGGUAAGCUUGAUUGACCGUUGUAUUAUCAGUAACGAAAAUCAAACAUUAUUUAAGAAAUAAUUUAUAGUAAAACAGUGUUUUAAUACUAUUUAUACACGAUGGGCGGUUAUACAUAGGGUUUUUGUUAACCAACUGCGAAGAAAUAUCACACGUGGAAAUAAUGUACCUAAAAUACAGUAUGGGUCUAUAUAUGUGUAGCUAUUAUACAUUUAGAUAUAUUAUAAUGAUAAUGUUUUCAGAAAAAAAAAUGCCAAAAAGUCGUUAUAAAAGUUUUUGCUCCUGUGAAAAUGAGCUAUUAGCUAGGUGAAAAACAGCAUUUUGACGUGUUAGUUGCAUCCAGGUUUUUUUAAGUUUACAUAUCAAAUAUUGGCUGUUUGUUGGGCAAGUGUAUAAUCUUUCAAACAGUUUCUUUAAGGCCCAUUUGCAAACCGUUUGCGCACUAAAAGCCAGCAAUGGCCUUCAAAGCGGUGGUUUCCUCUUUAUUUGACAUCUAAUCCCUAAAGCAUAUCAAACACACGGUAGGAACAAGCUAAAUGCAAACCAAACCAACGAGACUAAAAGAUAGAUGCAAGUCUACGUGAUUACUUACAGGUCUGUUAUUCAACUAUUUCUUUCUUUUUUUGUUGUUUUUGUUUUGUUUUUGUUUUGUUUUUUAUUCGCUUUUGCCUAGCUUCACCUGCCAUAGCUGCUUUAUAUCCAGGUAAAAAUAUGUAUAAAAACGAUAACUGUCGUCGCCAAUGGAAAAGUUCUUUUCAUCUGCUGUUUUGCUGUUUUGUCAUCGGUCAUCGAAAAUCAUGACAUAUGAAGAUCAUAUGUAUCCCUUACAUACAUAACAUAUUUCACAUAUUUCUUACAUAGCUAACAAUAGUUUGGUUACACAAUAACUGCUUGUUUGAAUUCCGUUCAUCACAAUACAAUACAAUACAAUACAAGAUUUUACUUAAGUCUCACUUUUCAUGCCAUUACAUAUACAUCCAUAUUCGUAAAAUAUUCAUGAAAACCUUUCUAAAAGAAAUUUGAGAGACUAUUUAUUAUAAAAUAAUCACACAUCGACAUAAAAGUAAAACAUAAAAUAUUUAAGUAUUAAAUGACACUCUAAUAUAAGUAUUCAAGGCUAUACCUUUCUAAAAUCAAGUUGAUGACCAUUUAAUAUAAAAUGUUUAAAUGGUUUUAUCUCACCUGCAUAAAAUAUAAUCACAUGUUUGACGUCUCCGGGGUGAAUUUAACCCAUUAUAUAAAAAUGAUAAUACACAAGAUCUAUAGUGUAAUAAACAUUUGACGUCGACGUCGUUUAAAGUAUAAAAGAGACGUUGGUCAAAUUGACUUGUUUUAAUAGCUAAAGAAAGAAGAUUUCUUUAUGUUUCGACAGGAAAAUCUAUCAUGUGAUAAAAAGGAUAUUACAUUUGUGACUUACAACAUUGAAUUUAUAAACUCGUUGAAUAAAUUGAUGAAAGCCUCGCAUCUUACUGUUUUAUUCAACUAGUUUAAGCAAUUCACUAUGAAAUGACACUCGUGUAAUAUUCUCUAUUUAAAAGUAAUCCUAAAGUAUUUAAUGCCUUUGGACAGGUUAUCAAGAGAAGCUUACUUAUUAACGAGAGAUAUCAAAGCUGAAUUCAAGAAAUGCCAUUCACCUGUGUCUGGCUCGUUACUUUGGUAAAAUACUUACUCUAAACGCCAAAUACAUUAUUUUGUAAUAAUUGAAAGAAAUCUGGUUAUAUUAUUUCUUACUGUUAAACGUUAAAAAGGAAGCAGCAACAAAUUAGAAUAAAGCUAAACAAACAGGUUUUGCCACUAAGGUCAAAACCGCAAUUAAACAUUGACCAGGAAUCAAUCGGAUAGGUAAGAGAACCAAACUUUAAUUUUAAUGUCAUAUUUAUCCACAUACCCCAAUUAAGAUAUUUAAAGAUUCAAGAGUCACUGUUAUGGUUACUCUUCUUUUCUCAAAAGAUCUGGACUUUGACUCAGUGUUGACAUAUUUUCUGGUCCUUUAGGAUCAUUUAGUAC